rnacentral:rRNA from 1 species
GAUGAACGCUAGCGGCAGGCUUAAUACAUGCAAGUCGUGGGGCAGCAGGUUUGUAGCAAUACAGAUGCUGGCGACCGGCAAACGGGUGCGGAACACGUACACAACCCUCCCUUAAGUGGGGAAUAGCCCAGAGAAAUUUGGAUUAAUACCCCGUAACAUUAUGAUGUGGCAUCACAUUAUAAUUAUAGCUACGGCGCUUAAUGAUGGGUGUGCGGCUGAUUAGGUAGUUGGCGGGGUAACGGCCCACCAAGCCUGCGAUCAGUAACUGGUGUGAGAGCACGACCAGUCACACGGGCACUGAGACACGGGCCCGACUCCUACGGGAGGCAGCAGUAAGGAAUAUUGGGCAAUGGAGGAAACUCUGACCCAGCCAUGCCGCGUGGAGGAUGAAGGUCCUCUGGAUUGUAAACUUCUUUUAUAUGGGACGAAAAAGGGUCUUUCUAGGUCAACUGACGGUACCAUAUGAAUAAGCACCGGCUAACUCCGUGCCAGCCGCCGCGGUAAGAC